rnacentral:rRNA from 1 species
UACAGAGACUGCAAGCGUUAUUCGGAUUCACUGUGCGUAAAGGGUGCGCAGGCGGCCAAGUGUGUGAGGCGUGAAAGCCCGGGGCUUAACCCCGGAAUUGCACCUCAAACUACAUGGCUAGAGCAUUGGAGAGGGUAGCGGAAUUCACGGUGUAGCAGUGAAAUGCGUAGAGAUCAGGAAGAACACCCGUGGCGCAAGCGGCCACCUGGCUGCCAACUGACGCUGAGGCACGAGAGUGUGGGGAGCGAACCGG